UACAGAGGGUGCUAGCGUUGUUCGGAAUCAUUGGGCGUAAAGAGCGUGUAGGCGGUUAGGUAGGUCCGUUGUGAAAACUCGAGGCUCAACCUCGAGACGCCGAUGGAAACCCCCUAACUAGAGUCCGGAAGAGGAGAGUGGAAUUCCUGGUGUAGCGGUGAAAUGCGCAGAUAUCAGGAAGAACACCCGUGGCUAAGGCGGCUCUCUAGUACGGUACUGACGCUGAGACGCGAAAGCGUGGGGAGCGAACAGG
rnacentral:rRNA from 1 species